rnacentral:lncRNA from 1 species
GUACAAUUAUACGUAUUCAUGAAACACUAAUUUAUGCGCACUCUACAAUGGGUAAAACAAGACAAGCAUAUAGGGUACCAAGAAAAAGUAUGUGAACCCUUUAAAAAUUACUGCAUUUAUGUAUAAACGUGUCUUCAUCUAAGUUAAACUAAUCAACAAAUACAAUCUGUUUUAACUUAACAUAUAUUAUUGUAUUGUUCUUGUACAUAUUGAAUAUAUCACUCAAAUAUUCACAGUAUAGUUUGGGAAAAGAGUGUGAAAACCUAGGCUAAUGACAUCAACAAAAGCUAAUUCAGUUUUAAAUUGUCAAAUCUGGUUCCCAAUUAAAACAAGAUUGGAGGUGUGGGUUAGCGCUACUUCCAGUCUAGCCUGUAGCCGAUAGUUGGAGUGCACUCCUGCUCGAUGGGGAAUAUCCUUGUGGUGAGGGAGAAUUUAAAGUGUCCCUUUCGUCUGUAUACUUCCCGAAUGCAUCCACAAGUGUAGAACAGAUACGUGCGUAUAGAUUGCUCUCCAGCUGUAACAGCGCAUGUUCUGGAGACCAGAGUGGAUGGGUAUGGAAUGGGUGGCUGUGAUUGGUUGAGAGUGUCAGCUGACCUUUUUCAGCCAGUCCAGUGUCCAUUGCAUGUAUGAAUUGAUAUUGCUAGGUGGAAGUGUGUAAUCUAUGUCGUACUGCCAUAGCUCCAGCAAGAGACAGGUCUGUGGGUCACCAGGGACCGUUAUUUAGUGUUAAACUGCUCAAAAAUCAUUUAGCACUGCAUGGAGAGGCAACUCAAAGGAAUUAAAUGCCAAUACGAUGAGAUGACAUGGUUAUAGCAUCUACUGUGUCCCUUUAAAAUGUGUGGAGGUCUGCAAACACAUUUAUGUAACAUGCAUAGCAGAGGCGUAACUAGAAACCAUGGGGCCCCGGUGCAUAAAUUGCCCUGGGCCCGCUCCCAUACGUUUCCCAUGUCCUCCCCCCCCCACCACCCCCACUUCCUCCUAGCUCUGAUGUCAUCUCAGGGGGCCGCGGCACUGGAAAUUCAUUGCAUGGGCCACCAGAUGGACCCCUUCAAGGCCGUGGUCACAGGGGUCCGCAGGUCAGCUGCGACCCCUGCGAAGUGGUAGUUCCGCCACUGAUGCAUAGGUUUCAAAACAAAAACAACACGGGACUGCUUCCUUUAUUGCAGCCAAACAGGGAAGGAGUGCUUGCAGGUAUUGUGAAAUGUAACAUGUGGCUAAAUGUCACAAGAUGUACCUGUUCUGAGCUCAUGUGACUGGAUGUACCUUAACCCAUUGUAUGUGUUAAUUAUUCUCUCUAACCUUCCAGCAUAUACAAACUAUGAGAAAUGUCAGUGUAUUCUUCUUGGUAGAAGGCAAAGUACAGGGCCAGUGCAAGGAUUUUUGGGUACAGAGGCAAAAAUGCAUUUUGUUCACCCCCAAAAAAUCUUUUGUGUUUUGUACCCCCUCUUUUACAUGUCUUACCCCUUUAGUGUCUUAUCUUAUCCCCUAUUUGUCCCCAUUGUGUGUUUUGCACUUCCUUUGGGUAUCUCUUACAACUCCCCUUGCAUCUCUUAUCCCCCCUCUUUGUAUGACUUUUACAUCCUCCUGCAUUUUGUGUCUUACUCCCCCCCAUCCCCUUUGUGUCUUUUACUCUUCCCAACUCCUCUGUGUGUGUAUCUUUCACCCCCAGCCCAUCUGUCUCCCCCUCAGUCUGUCUGUGUGCCUCUUAUUCCCCUUCUCCAGCCACUCUGUGUGUCUCCCCACACCCCCAGGCUCUCUGUGUCUUUUUCACGCCCCAGCAACACUGUGUAUUCCGCCCCCAAGGCCUUUCUGUGUGUCUAUUUCAUCCCCAGCCCAUCUGUGUGUCAUUCUCCCCCCUCAUGUCCCUCUGUAUGUCUUUCUCCCCACUCACACCCCGCUGUGUGCCUCUUUCUCCCCCACCAGCCCCUUUGUGUGUCUCUUUCACCCCUUCCCCAUUUCUUUGUAAUCUCUUCCACGCUGCCCUUGUCCGUUAGAUGUCUCCCAUCUCUGUCCCUUAGUGGUCUCCUCUCCCCCACCAUCCGGCACCUUAUUAGUCUCUCCCUCCCCCCGUCCCUUAGUUGUCUCCCCUUAGUUGUUUCCUCUCCCUCCCUUCCCUGUCCCUUAGUGGUCCUCUCCCCUCUUUUCCCUGUUCCUUGGUGUACCCCUCCAUCCCUUCUCUGUCCCUUCGUGGUCCUCUCCCCUCCCUGUUGCUUAGUGUUUCUCUCCCCUUCUCCCUCUGUUGCUUAGUGCCCCCCCCCUUUGGUGUUCCUCUCCCCUCCUUUCCCUGUCCCUUAGUGGUCCUCUCCCCUCCCUGUUACUUGCUGUUCCUCUUCCCUCCCUUCUCUGUCCCUUAGUGCAGCUCUCCUCUCCCUACCCUGUCCCUUAGUUGUCCCCCCCGUCCCUUAAUCAACCCCUACCCCUCUUUUAGUGUUCCUCUCCCCUCCCUGUGACUUUGUGGUCCUUUACUACCCACCCCCUUAGUGUUCCUCCCCCUCCCUUCCCUGGUGUUCCACAUUACCACUUUUGUAGUGUUGCCGAGUGGAAGCGGACCGCGGUACAGGAGCUUCUGUUUUCUGUACCCGGACUAAAAUUAAGUGUUCUCUCGGUGAGCUCUUCCAGUCAGUCCGGCAGGGAACAGGAAUCAGAAGCUCCUGGCCACGCUACACUGAGUGACUGGCAGGAGGGAGUGCUGUGCGCUUCCCUCCUUCCCGGUCACUUGUAACUUGCGCCCCCAGAGCCGGUAUGUCCUAAGCCGGCCACCUGUGCCGCCUUAUGGAUGCACUUGCCCUGGCCUAAGUAUAAAUAAGUUAUGGUGAGAGAAAAACAAUAAAAACGUAGGUAAAUUAAAAUGUAUAUAUCAUGAUACUUUUCUGUGCUCAUUUGCAUGCUGAAUUGGGAAUACUGGGAAAGUUGUGGAAACUUGAUUCUUGGAAAUAUUUAGAUGACAUACAACAAAAAUCUACAUUUGGUUGAAAUGCCAUAUAGAAAAUAAAAAUAUGCGGAGGAUUGGGCAAUAUGGCCCACAUAUGGUGGUAUUGCCCAAGACUAACUUAAUACUAGAAAUCGAUACACAACUUAAUUGUUAAAGUGAACAGGAAUAUAGACAAUUUCACAUCUGAUCUAGCUCUCUUUAAAAAAUUCCCUGAAUCCAUCAGUAGAAUCGAUAGGAUUAUAGCAGGCCACAUACUGAUAGCUGCCACCACGUCUACCUAGAUAUUGGAAGUCUAAACAUACACUCUCUAUCAAGGAAGUACUGACACUAACAUUAGAAAACAAAGCAUACGAACUAUCACAUAGAAAUAACACACACAUUUUUGCACAAUUAAAAUACCACUGGUAUCAAUGGGAAACCGAUGUCAAAAAAACACAUAACCUGUAAUAACUUGUAAUGUUGUGUUAUUCAACUCAAGUGCCUUGUACUUUAACAUAUUUACUGUUAUAAUGGAUGGAUGGCUUCCCCCCCCCCCCAUCUCCCAGUUGUCACCCUUCCUUUCCCUUCCCUAAUAUAUUGUUCUUUAUUAUUUGUAAAUUCU